UACGUAGGGAGCGAGCGUUGUCCGGAAUUACUGGGCGUAAAGGGUGCGUAGGCGGCGAAGCAAGUCAGAUGUGAAAUCCCCGGGCUUAACUCGGGGGGUGCAUUUGAAACUGCAUUGCUUGAGUGCAGGAGAGGAAAGCGGAAUUCCUAGUGUAGCGGUGAAAUGCGUAGAUAUUAGGAAGAACACCAGUGGCGAAGGCGGCUUUCUGGACUGUAACUGACGCUGAGGCACGAAAGCGUGGGGAGCAAACAGG
rnacentral:rRNA from 1 species